AGAGUUUGAUCAUGGCUCAGAUUGAACGCUGGCGGCAGGCCUAACACAUGCAAGUCGAGCGGUAGCACAGAGAGCUUGCUCUCGGGUGACGAGCGGCGGACGGGUGAGUAAUGUCUGGGAAACUGCCUGAUGGAGGGGGAUAACUACUGGAAACGGUAGCUAAUACCGCAUAAUGUCGCAAGACCAAAGUGGGGGACCUUCGGGCCUCAUGCCAUCAGAUGUGCCCAGAUGGGAUUAGCUAGUAGGUGGGGUAACGGCUCACCUAGGCGACGAUCCCUAGCUGGUCUGAGAGGAUGACCAGCCACACUGGAACUGAGACACGGUCCAGACUCCUACGGGAGGCAGCAGUGGGGAAUAUUGCACAAUGGGCGCAAGCCUGAUGCAGCCAUGCCGCGUGUGUGAAGAAGGCCUUCGGGUUGUAAAGCACUUUCAGCGGGGAGGAAGGCGNCGAUUGACGUUACCCGCAGAAGAAGCACCGGCUAACUCCGUGCCAGCAGCCGCGGUAAUACGGAGGGUGCAAGCGUUAAUCGGAAUUACUGGGCGUAAAGCGCACGCAGGCGGUCUGUCAAGUCGGAUGUGAAAUCCCCGGGCUCAACCUGGGAACUGCAUUCGAAACUGGCAGGCUAGAGUCUUGUAGAGGGGGGUAGAAUUCCAGGUGUAGCGGUGAAAUGCGUAGAGAUCUGGAGGAAUACCGGUGGCGAAGGCGGCCCCCUGGACAAAGACUGACGCUCAGGUGCGAAAGCGUGGGGAGCAAACAGGAUUAGAUACCCUGGUAGUCCACGCCGUAAACGAUGUCGAUUUGGAGGUUGUGCCCUUGAGGCGUGGCUUCCGGAGCUAACGCGUUAAAUCGACCGCCUGGGGAGUACGGCCGCAAGGUUAAAACUCAAAUGAAUUGACGGGGGCCCGCACAAGCGGUGGAGCAUGUGGUUUAAUUCGAUGCAACGCGAAGAACCUUACCUGGUCUUGACAUCCACAGAACUUUCCAGAGAUGGAUUGGUGCCUUCGGGAACUGUGAGACAGGUGCUGCAUGGCUGUCGUCAGCUCGUGUUGUGAAAUGUUGGGUUAAGUCCCGCAACGAGCGCAACCCUUAUCCUUUGUUGCCAGCGGUUAGGCCGGGAACUCAAAGGAGACUGCCAGUGAUAAACUGGAGGAAGGUGGGGAUGACGUCAAGUCAUCAUGGCCCUUACGACCAGGGCUACACACGUGCUACAAUGGCAUAUACAAAGAGAAGCGACCUCGCGAGAGCAAGCGGACCUCAUAAAGUAUGUCGUAGUCCGGAUUGGAGUCUGCAACUCGACUCCAUGAAGUCGGAAUCGCUAGUAAUCGUAGAUCAGAAUGCUACGGUGAAUACGUUCCCGGGCCUUGUACACACCGCCCGUCACACCAUGGGAGUGGGUUGCAAAAGAAGUAGGUAGCUUAACCUUCGGGAGGGCGCUUACCACUUUGUGAUUCAUGACUGGGGUGAAGUCGUAACAAGGUAACCGUAGGGGAACCUGCGGUUGGAUCACCU
rnacentral:rRNA from 1 species